rfam:Cavia porcellus supercont2_71 genomic scaffold, whole genome shotgun sequence.
GGGGAUUUAGCUCAGUGGCAUAAGCGCCUGCCUUGCAGGCAGGCAGUCGUGAGUUCAAUCCCCG